ensembl:lncRNA
GGGGCUGUGGGGGUAUAGGGGUGAUAUGGGUGUGUAGGGGGCUUUGGGAGGAGCUCCAUGGUUCUAUGAGGGGGCUGUAAGGGCUAUAGGUGUGUUCGAGGGGGAUAUGUGGCUCUGGGGGUUUGUGGUAACAUGUGGGAGCGUUGAGGGUGCUAGGGGUUGGGGGGGGCUCUAGGGAAGGAUGUUGUGUUGUAGGAGAUUGUGGGGGCCUGAGGGAGGAUAUAGGGUGUCUGUGGGGGGCUGUUGGGGGAUAUAGAGGAGAUAUGGAGUCUAGAAGGGUUCUGGGGGGAUAUGAGGUUGGAUGUGGGAGAGUGUGGG